UACGGGGGGGGCAAGCGUUGUUCGGAAUUACGUGGCGUAAAGGGCUCGUAGGCGGCCAACUAAGUCGGACGUGAAAUCCCUCGGCUUAACCGGGGAACUGCGUCCGAUACUGGAUGGCUUGAGUGUGGGAGAGGCAAGCGGAAUUCCUGGUGUAGCGGUGAAAUGCGUAGAUAUCAGGAGGAACACCUGUGGUGUAGACAGCUUGCUGGACCAUAACUGACGCUGAGGCACGAAAGCGUGGGUAGCAAACAGG
rnacentral:rRNA from 1 species